AAGACAGCAGCGUUGCAUUGCCUUUGCUGGAGCUGAACGAGGACCGCGGCGGCCUCGCCGAGUUCGCCGCCGCACCGGGAGCGUCAGGCCGCCGCACCGGGAGCGUCCACCGGAGUAUGACCGAGAUUGACUUUGAUUCUGAAUAGAUUUUCUUAGAAUGGCUUGCUCUGAUGAUGCUGGAUGGUGGUUUUCUUAGCUAGAUCAACUCGUUCUCAUGCACUAUAACUCAU
rnacentral:misc_RNA from 1 species